rnacentral:lncRNA from 1 species
CACUAACCACAUAAAUUCUACUACUAAUCAGCAGAACAGAAACCAGAGAUUGGAAAUUCUACUACCUGGGAUUUGGGUACGAUCGUUGACCUUGAUGUAGCUACUUGGACGAUGGAUGCGUUUGCAGAUCCUUGAGAGAGAGAGAGAUCGUUGAGAGCGGUGGUGGCGAUUUCAAGGCGAGUACUCGGCGGCGGUGACGAUAUUGACGAGACUUUCUUGCCUUGUUUGUUUGUUUCUCUCUCUCUCUCUCUCUCUCACAGAUUGGAAUUCACAAAUUCACAAACAUUUCUUGAAAAUGGUGAUGAGAUUCC